rnacentral:rRNA from 1 species
AUACGGAGGGUGCAAGCGUUACUCGGAAUCACUGGGCGUAAAGCGCGCGCAGGCGGUCUUUUAAGUUGGAUGUGAAAGCCUACGGCUCAACCGUAGAACUGCAUCCAAAACUAUUAGACUAGAGUGUGGGAGAGGAAGAUGGAAUUAGUUGUGUAGGGGUAAAAUCCGUAGAGAUAGCUAGGAAUACCAAAAGCGAAGGCAAUCUUCUGGAACACUACUGACGCUGAGGCGCGAAAGCGUGGGGAGCGAACAGGAUUAGAAACCCCAGUAGUCC